ACAGGCCUUUUAAUCUGUUACCGGUCAAUCGAUGAACGAUACUCGAAGAGUCCUGGAUUGUCAACCCCAGUCUCUCAUUAAUAUUGUACAAUAUGUACAAAUUGUAAUGCCUUGAUACAGUUUUCCCAUUUUCUUCGCAGCCUGAAACAGCUGUGACACGAGAACAGCCAAGGCGAAGGUCGAUAGCCAUGUGUCACAAACACAACCCAGCCAAGCCGCACUGCACGCUUAAAACGGGAAUGUACACGACCAUGUCAACGUGCAUGUGCCCGGGCCGCCACAGGAGUCGCUAGAGCACGAUGGGACAAGGAAAUCCCGGCCGGCCAAACCCUCCCCCAACCCAGGCGAUUGGGGCCAAUUGUGCGGCGCCUCAUGGGUCUCCCGGUCGCGACACAGCCCGGUAUCGAACCAGGAUCUUUAGUAACGCAGCUAGCACAGCCUUAGACCACUGCGCCACUCGAGAGGCCCGAAUCCACUCAUUUGAAGGGGUGUCCACAUACUUUGCCACCUUAUGGGUACGUUUUACCAGACCAUCCACAUGCUUGGGCAUGGCAUCAAACCUGUCUACGCUUUUGAUGGCAAGCCCUCACAGUUGAAGUCACAAGAGGGGAGCAGGAGAACAUUGACAAGUUCACUAAGCGUCUGGUGAAAGUUACCCGGCAGCACAACGACGAGUGCAAGAAGCUGCUCACCCUAAUGGGGGUGCCAUACAUCAAGGCUCCAUGUGAGGCAGAGGUGAGCUGCACUGCUCUGGUUAAGGCGGUAGUCGCCACGGCAACAGAAGAUACGGACAGCCUGACAUUUGGAGCAGGGAUCCUACUGAGGCACCUCACCCCCAGCGACGCAAAGUACUACUGCAGUUUAUAUACCACCUUACCCAUCUUUCAUCCCAGUCAUACAGUUUAUCUAACAGUAUUAUAACAAUAGAAGCUGUGUGUGUGUGUUGUAUAUUUUGUUUUUGAGGUUACUUGUAACAUUUCUGUUUCUCUAUCUUAGGAAGCUUCCUAUCCUUCUGUGAGUUCACCUGUGUUGUGACUGUCAAACUUUGUAAGAGUUUGUAAUCCCAAUUCUCCAUAGUUUAAUUUGUUCCUCUUAAACACACACAUGCAUGACAGUCCCACAUAAUAAGCAGUCCCUAGUUUGAGAUCCAAACCGUCACGCAGCAGUUAUCCUAUUCCCAGAAGUCAGUGUGAGUGUUUGUCUCCUUGGCCCCUUGCAGAAGCACCCUGCCCCAGAGGACUGCCUGUAUAAGGAGUCCAGAGGUCUGUUCCUGCAGCCUGACAUUGUGGACUGCUCCACAGUAACCUCAAGUGGAGCGAGCCCAACAAGGACACCCUUAUCCAGUUCAUGUGUGCAGAGAAACAGUUCAAGUACAGGAUAGGAUCGACAUAAUAUAGUAUCACUGAGGUAAUAUUCCAACCCUUAUGGAGCCUCACUCUGAUUUAUUUGAGUAAAAAAUGGCAGGGAUGAAUCCUACAUUGACGUCAAUGCACGACGAAUGGGAAAUUUGACUUGGUGUAAAUAUGAGAAUAUACGCUUCAGUCACACUUUUGUAUUCUAAAUAAGUCGAUUUUAUUUGAAUGUGGCACUGUACUUUCCGACAAUGGCACUACUUUUUCACACGGUUGAAAUCCUGCUCCACAUGCACAUGAUGUUAAGCCAUGGUUGGUAUGAGUGAUAAAAAUGUCUCAUACUGUGAAGUGUGUUUGUGCACAGUGAGGACUGCAUCAAGAACAGCUGUAAGAAGAUGAUGAAGAGCCGACAAGGCAGCACACCGGAAUGACUGGACUCCAUUCACCAUCAUUGGCUCUCUGAGAGAGAAACCUAUACAUAUUCAAUGCAUUUCAGUGCCUUUAAACAGGGUAUAGUAGUAGGUGCCAGCCACACCGGUUUGAGUGUGUCAAGAACUGCAACGCUGCUGGGUUUUUCACACUCAACAGUUUCCUGUGUGUAUCAAGGACAUUCAGCCAACUUGACACAACUGUGGGAAGCAUUGGAGUCAACAUUCAACUCAAUAUUAGGAAUAUGUUUAGUACACUCAGUGUAUACCAUACCUCAUCUAUGUUUGAUUAAUAAAAAACAUUGUCCACACCAUACUGUAUCCAUAUUAAAAUAAUUCUCGCUACUUCCUCCUAUUUAUUUAGGAAUAGACUUCAAAGAGGAAGUCAACCAAGGAAAGAGGAAGUUGAGGAGUGUGCGUGAUAAUUAGACAACUACAAUUACAGUGUCUAGCCAAGUCUGUUCUUCAUGUUGAAAAUGUGAGAAUGGGGUAGUGGUUAACGUAUUCCAAUUAAACUAGCAAGUUUUAUUAACAUGCUUUUUUCUUGAAUUAAAGUAAUAGUGAAUUUUGUAUUUUGAUUUAUAUUUUUUCCAAAUCCCACAUGCAUUCCCAUUAAAGCCCGGAGAUAUAGGACGGUGAGAUGGUUCUAUUGACAAAAGCUUUGUUUGAUGCAUUUUUUGUUGUUGAAUUUUUCAUGACGGAAACAAAUUGUGGAAGGUUUAAUAGAAAGGGGAUUUUUCAAAUAUUAGCAUAUACACAUUUGCGUGCGCUGUUUCACAUCUGAUUAGGACGCCCAGCACAUAGCCUUUUAAAGCAUCCACUGUAAGGCCCAGUGCAGUCAAAAAUGUGGUUUCCCUGUGUUUUAUGUAUACAUUGAGUGUAUAAACAUUAUUAACACCUGCCUUUUCCAUGACCUAGACUGACAAGGUGGGUCCAGGUGAAAGCUAUGAUCCCUUAUGGAUGUCACUGGUUAAAUCCACUUCAAUCAGUGUAGUUAGAGGGGUGGAGACAGGUUAAAGAAGGAUUUUUAAGCCUUGAGACAAUUAAGAAAUGGAUUGUGCAUGUGUGCCAUAAAGAGGUUGAAUGGGCAGGACAAGAUUUAAGUGCCUUUGAAUGGGGUAUGGGAAAGGGAAAGGGGGAUACCUAGUCAGUUGUACAACAAUGCAUUCAACUGAAAUGUUCAGGGGCAGAAUGACAGAUUUUUUACCUUGUCAGCUCGGGGAUUCAAUCCAGCAACCUUUUGGUUCCUGGCCCAACGCUCUAAUGGUAGUAGGUGCCAGGCACACCAGUUUGUGUCGAGAACUGCAACACUGCAGGGUUGCACCCAAAAGACAUCUAACCAACUAGAUACAACUGUGGGAAGCAUAUAGAGUUAGCAUCCUUGUUAAUUGCUUUCGACACCUUGUAGAGUCCAUGCCCUGACAAAUUUGGGCUGUU